AGUGAACGCUGGCGGUAGGCCUAACACAUGCAAGUCGAACGGCAGCACAGUAAGAGCUUGCUCUUACGGGUGGCGAGUGGCGGACGGGUGAGGAAUACAUCGGAAUCUACUUUUUCGUGGGGGAUAACGUAGGGAAACUUACGCUAAUACCGCAUACGACCUACGGGUGAAAGCGGGGGAUCUUCGGACCUUGCGCGAUUGAAUGAGCCGAUGUCGGAUUAGCUAGUUGGCGGGGUAAAGGCCCACCAAGGCGACGAUCCGUAGCUGGUCUGAGAGGAUGAUCAGCCACACUGGAGAUGUGACACGGUCCACACACCUACGGGAGGCAGCGGUGGGGAAUAUUGGACAAUGGGCGCAAGCCUGAUCCAGCCAUACCGCGUGGGUGAAGAAGGCCUUCGGGUUGUAAAGCCCUUUUGUUGGGAAAGAAAAGCAGCAGGUUAAUACCCCGCUGUUCUGACGGUACCCAAAGAAUAAGCACCGGCUAACUUCGUG
rnacentral:rRNA from 1 species